UUGUCUGUCUGCAGGGAUCCUCUUGAGUCUGCCUUGAUCCGAGCAGGAAGAAACGGCGGGAGAGAGGAGGGGAAAGAUCGAAAGAAAAGGGGAAAGCCCGGUCGGUUGCUAUCCCAUAACAGCACAUUGCGCUGCCGGCGCAGAUUCUGCAACAAACGCUGGAAGAAGAAGCAACGGAAGUUUGGCCGAGCGAGCCUCACAUCCAGCCAUGAUGCCGUCGGAACAAGUGACUUUUGAGGACGUGGCUGUGUAUUUCACGCAGAGUGAAUGGGCUUUGCUCAGUCCAGAGCAGAGAGCUUUAUACCACGAAGUCAUGAGAGAGAAUCAUCAUAACGUAAUCUCUUUAGGAUUUUCUGUCAUCAGAUCCCACUUGAUUGCCCAGUUUGAACAAGGGGAUGAGCCAUGGAUUCCUGAUUCAGACGUUUUGGAAGG